rnacentral:rRNA from 1 species
CCUACGGGUGGCUGCAGUGAGGAAUAUUGGUCAAUGGCCGGAAGGCUGAACCAGCCAUGCCGCGUGAAGGUCAGUGCCCUAUUGGCGUUAAACUUCUUUUGUUCGGGAGCAAUAAUGGUCACGUGUGGCCAGUCGAGAGUACCGUUCGAAUAAACAUCGGCUAACUCCGUGCCAGCAGCCGCGGUAAUACGGGGGAUGCAAGCGUUAUCCGGAUUUAUUGGGUUUAAAGGGUGCGUAGGGUGUGAGGUAAGUCAGCGGUGAAAUGUCGGGGCUCAACCCCGGCCGGCCGUUGAAACUGGUUUUCUAGAGUUGGAGAGAAGUAGGCGGAAUUCGUGGUGUAGCGGUGAAAUGCAUAGAUAUCACGAAGAACUCCGAUUGCGAAGGCAGCAUACCGGGUCCAUACUGACGCUGAGGCACGAAAGCGUGGGGAUCGAACAGGAUUAGAUACCCUUGUAGUC